rnacentral:rRNA from 1 species
AUUGAACGCUGGCGGAAUGCUUUACACAUGCAAGUCGAACGGCAGCACGGACUUCGGUCUGGUGGCGAGUGGCGAACGGGUGAGUAAUGUAUCGGAGCGUGCCCAGUCGUGGGGGAUAACGUAGUGAAAAUUACGCUAAUACCGCAUACGAUCUAUGGAUGAAAGCGGGGGAUCGCAAGACCUCGCGCGAUUGGAGCGGCCGAUAUCAGAUUAGGUAGUUGGUGGGGUAAAGGCCCACCAAGCCAACGAUCUGUAGCUGGUCUGAGAGGCCGACCAGCCACACUGGAACUGAGACACGGUCCAGACUCCUACGGGAGGCAGCGGUGGGGAAUUUUGGACAAUGGGCGAAAGCCUGAUCCAGCCAUUCCGCGCGCAGGAUGAAGGCCCUCGGGUUGUAAACUGCUUUUGUACAGAACGAAAAGGUUUCUACUAAUACUAGGAGCUCAUGACGGUACUGUAAGAAUAAGCACCGGCUAACUACGUGCCAGCAGCCGCCGUAA